AGUGUCCCGUGACUCCAUUCAACGAGACUCAGGUGUGCAGCGGCGUGGACAGUUCUGCAGCACAGCAGUGUCCGCACAAUGGACUGUUGUGUGGCUCGAGUAUCGCCGAGCUGGCAUGUGCCCCGGUGCUGAAUGUGAGUCUGGAGGAUUUGGUCUCCCUGCUGGACU